GAUGAACGCUGGCGGCGUGCCUAAUACAUGCAAGUCGAGCGAACGGACGAGAAGCUUGCUUCUCUGAUGUUAGCGGCGGACGGGUGAGUAACACGUGGAUAACCUACCUAUAAGACUGGGAUAACUUCGGGAAACCGGAGCUAAUACCGGAUAAUAUUUUGAACCGCAUGGUUCAAAAGUGAAAGACGGUCUUGCUGUCACGUAUAGAUGGAUCCGCGCUGCAUGAGCUAGUUGGUAAUGUAAAGGCUUACCAAGGCAACGAUGCAUAGCCGAGCUGCGAGGGGGAUCGCCCACCCUGGAACUUGGACACGGUCCAGACUCCUACGGGAGGCAGCAGUAGGGAAUCUUCCGCAAUAGGCGAAAGCCUGACAGAGCAACGCCACGUGAGUGAUGAAAGUCUUCGGAUCGUAAAACUCUGUUAUUAGGGAAGAACAUAUGUGUAAGUAACUGUGCACAUCUUGACGGUACCUAAUCAGAAAGCCACGGCUAACUACGUG
rnacentral:rRNA from 1 species